rnacentral:rRNA from 1 species
UUAAGCGACUAAGCGUACACGGUGGAUGCCCUGGCAGUCAGAGGCGAUGAAGGACGUGCUAAUCUGCGAAAAGCGUCGGUAAGGUGAUAUGAACCGUUACAGCCGGCGAUGUCCGAAUGGGGAAACCCAGUGCAAUUCGUUGCACUAUCGUUAACUGAAUACAUAGGUUAACGAGGCGAACCGGGGGAACUGAAACAUCUAAGUACCCCGAGGAAAAGAAAUCAACCGAGAUUCCCCCAGUAGCGGCGAGCGAACGGGGAGCAGCCCAGAGUCUGAAUCAGCUUGUGUGUUAGUGGAACGGUCUGGAAAGUCCGACGGUACAGGGUGAUAGUCCCGUACACCAAAAUGCACAGGUUGUGAACUCGAAGAGUAGGGCGGGACACGUGGUAUCCUGUCUGAAUAUGGGGGGACCAUCCUCCAAGGCUAAAUACUCCUGACUGACCGAUAGUGAACCAGUACCGUGAGGGAAAGGCGAAAAGAACCCCGGCGAGGGGAGUGAAAAAGAACCUGAAACCGUGUACGUACAAGCAGUGGGAGCACCUUCGGGUGUGACUGCGUACCUUUUGUAUAAUGGGUCAGCGACUUAUAUUCUGUAGCAAGGUUAACCGUAUAGGGGAGCCGCAGGGAAACCGAGUCUUAACUGGGCGUUAAGUUGCAGGGUAUAGACCCGAAACCCGGUGAUCUAGCCAUGGGCAGGUUGAAGGUUGGGUAACACUAACUGGAGGACCGAACCGACUAAUGUUGAAAAAUUAGCGGAUGACUUGUGGCUGGGGGUGAAAGGCCAAUCAAACCGGGAGAUAGCUGGUUCUCCCCGAAAGCUAUUUAGGUAGCGCCUCGUGAACUCAUCUUCGGGGGUAGAGCACUGUUUCGGCUAGGGGGUCAUCCCGACUUACCAACCCGAUGCAAACUACGAAUACCGAAGAAUGUUAUCACGGGAGACACACGGCGGGUGCUAACGUCCGUCGUGAAGAGGGAAACAACCCAGACCGCCAGCUAAGGUCCCAAAGUCAUGGUUAAGUGGGAAACGAUGUGGGAAGGCACAGACAGCCAGGAUGUUGGCUUAGAAGCAGCCAUCAUUUAAAGAAAGCGUAAUAGCUCACUGGUCGAGUCGGCCUGCGCGGAAGAUGUAACGGGGCUAAACCAUGCACCGAAGCUGCGGCAGCGACACUAUGUGUUGUUGGGUAGGGGAGCGUUCUGUAAGCCUGCGAAGGUGUGCUGUGAGGCAUGCUGGAGGUAUCAGAAGUGCGAAUGCUGACAUAAGUAACGAUAAAGCGGGUGAAAAGCCCGCUCGCCGGAAGACCAAGGGUUCCUGUCCAACGUUAAUCGGGGCAGGGUGAGUCGACCCCUAAGGCGAGGCCGAAAGGCGUAGUCGAUGGGAAACAGGUUAAUAUUCCUGUACUUGGUGUUACUGCGAAGGGGGGACGGAGAAGGCUAUGUUAGCCGGGCGACGGUUGUCCCGGUUUAAGCAUGUAGGCUGGUUAUCCAGGCAAAUCCGGAUAAUCAAGGCUGAGGUGUGAUGACGAGGCACUACGGUGCUGAAGUAACAAAUGCCCUGCUUCCAGGAAAAGCCUCUAAGCAUCAGGUAACAUCAAAUCGUACCCCAAACCGACACAGGUGGUCAGGUAGAGAAUACCAAGGCGCUUGAGAGAACUCGGGUGAAGGAACUAGGCAAAAUGGUGCCGUAACUUCGGGAGAAGGCACGCUGGUGUGUAGGUGAAGUCCCUGCGGAUGGAGCUGAGACCAGUCGAAGAUACCAGCUGGCUGCAACUGUUUAUUAAAAACACAGCACUGUGCAAACACGAAAGUGGACGUAUACGGUGUGACGCCUGCCCGGUGCCGGAAGGUUAAUUGAUGGGGUUAUCCGUAAGGAGAAGCUCUUGAUCGAAGCCCCGGUAAACGGCGGCCGUAACUAUAACGGUCCUAAGGUAGCGAAAUUCCUUGUCGGGUAAGUUCCGACCUGCACGAAUGGCGUAAUGAUGGCCAGGCUGUCUCCACCCGAGACUCAGUGAAAUUGAACUCGCUGUGAAGAUGCAGUGUACCCGCGGCAAGACGGAAAGACCCCGUGAACCUUUACUAUAGCUUGACACUGAACAUUGAGCCUUGAUGUGUAGGAUAGGUGGGAGGCUUUGAAGCGUGGACGCCAGUCUGCGUGGAGCCAACCUUGAAAUACCACCCUUUAAUGUUUGAUGUUCUAACGUUGGCCCCUGACCGGGGUUGCGGACAGUGUCUGGUGGGUAGUUUGACUGGGGCGGUCUCCUCCCAAAGCGUAACGGAGGGGCACGAAGGUUAGCUAAUCCUGGUCGGACAUCAGGAGGUUAGUGCAAUGGCAUAAGCUAGCUUGACUGCGAGCGUGACGGCGCGAGCAGGUGCGAAAGCAGGUCAUAGUGAUCCGGUGGUUCUGAAUGGAAGGGCCAUCGCUCAACGGAUAAAAGGUACUCCGGGGAUAACAGGCUGAUACCGCCCAAGAGUUCAUAUCGACGGCGGUGUUUGGCACCUCGAUGUCGGCUCAUCACAUCCUGGGGCUGAAGUAGGUCCCAAGGGUAUGGCUGUUCGCCAUUUAAAGUGGUACGCGAGCUGGGUUUAGAACGUCGUGAGACAGUUCGGUCCCUAUCUGCCGUGGGCGCUGGAGAAUUGAGGGGGGCUGCUCCUAGUACGAGAGGACCGGAGUGGACGCAUCACUGGUGUUCGGGUUGUCAUGCCAAUGGCACUGCCCGGUAGCUAAAUGCGGAAGAGAUAAGUGCUGAAAGCAUCUAAGCACGAAACUUGCCCCGAGAUGAGUUCUCCCUGAGACUAUAAGUCUCCUGAAGGAACGUUAAAGACGAUGACGUUGAUAGGCCGGGUGUGUAAGCGCAGCGAUGCGUUGAGCUAACCGGUACUAAUGAACCGUGAGGCUUAACCUU